rnacentral:rRNA from 1 species
AUCUACUGCCAAACCAGCCUAGAAGGGCCCGAUCUCGCCGCGAUCGCGGAAGCUAAGUAGGGUCAGGCCUGGUUACCGGAGACCUCUAGGGAAGACCGGGUGCUCUAGGCU